AUAUGCGUUUUGCCGAGUUCCGCAUGAGCGGAAACGGGGGACCCAUUACAAUCGGGGCGUAUCGCCGCAAGGCGUAGGGCAGUCUCUUCCGCCCGAGCCCGUCAGCUAACCUCGUAGGCAUGGAAGAGGAGAACC
rnacentral:sRNA from 2 species